GUCGUGGCCUACUGGUUAGGGCUUCGGGCUUGUAACCGGAGGGUUGCCGGUUCGAUCAUGGAGUUGGACC
rnacentral:tRNA from 1 species